CAACAGGGAUUGCCUCAGUAACGGCGAGUGAAGCGGCAACAGCUCAAAUUUGAAAUCUGGCCCCCUCGGGGUCCGAGUUGUAAUUUGGAGAGGAUGCUUCGGGUGUGGCCCCGGUCUAAGUUCCUUGGAACAGGACGUCACAGAGGGUGAGAAUCCCGUACGUGCCCGGUGGUCGCCCCCGUGUGAAGCUCCUUCGACGAGUCGAGUUGUUUGGGAAUGCAGCUCAAAAUGGGUGGUAAAUUUCAUCUAAAGCUAAAUAUUGGCCAGAGACCGAUAGCGCACAAGUAGAGUGAUCGAAAGAUGAAAAGCACUUUGGAAAGAGAGUUAAACAGUACGUGAAAUUGUUGAAAGGGAAGCGCUGGCAACCAGACUUGCGCGGGGUCGAUCAUCCGGUGUUCGCACCGGUGCACUCGGCCCCGCGCAGGCCAGCAUCGGUCUGGGCGGCUGGAUAAAGGCCUUGGGAAUGUGGCUCUCUUCGGGGAGUGUUAUAGCCCAAGGUGCAAUGCAGCCCGCCUGGACCGAGGACCGCGCUCCGGCUAG
rnacentral:rRNA from 1 species